rnacentral:rRNA from 1 species
CUAGCGUUGUUCGGAAUCACUGGGCGUAAAGCGCACGUAGGCGGAUCUUUAAGUCAGGGGUGAAAUCCCAGAGCUCAACUCUGGAACUGCCUUUGAUACUGGGGAUCUCGAGUUCGGGAGAGGUGAGUGGAACUGCGAGUGUAGAGGUGAAAUUCGUAGAUAUUGGGAAGAACACCGGUGGCGAAGGCGGCUCACUGGCUCGUAACUGACGCUCAUGCACGCCAGCGUGGGGAUCAAACAGG